rnacentral:rRNA from 1 species
UGGGGAAUAUUGCACAAUGGGCGCAAGCCUGAUGCAGCCAUGCCGCGUGUGUGAAGAAGGCCUUCGGGUUGUAAAGUACUUUCAGUCGGGAGGAAGGUGGUAAGGUUAAUAACCUUAUCAAUUGACGUUACCGACAGAAGAAGCACCGGCUAACUCCGUGCCAGCAGCCGCGGUAAUACGGAGGGUGCAAGCGUUAAUCGGAAUUACUGGGCGUAAAGCGCACGCAGGCGGUUGAUUGAGUCAGAUGUGAAAUCCCCGGGCUUAACCCGGGAAUUGCAUCUGAUACUGGUCAGCUAGAGUCUUGUAGAGGGGGGUAGAAUUCCAUGUGUAGCGGUGAAAUGCGUAGAGAUCUGGAGGAAUACCGGUGGCGAAGGCGGCUCUCUGGUCUGUAACUGACGCUGAGGCUCGAAAGCGUGGGGAGCAAACAGG